CGCUGACUGCACGGGAGUCCGGUGAGCCGGGCUGAGAGGGAGUAAUCGAACUCCGACCGUAGAACCUGAUCCGGAUCAUGCCGGCGCAGGGAGCGAAUGAGCUCGCGAU
rnacentral:ncRNA from 2 species